rnacentral:rRNA from 1 species
GACGAACGCUAGCGGCAGGCCUAAUACAUGCAAGUCGGACGGGAUUGGAACCAGAGCUUGCUCUGAUUCCAUGAGAGUGGCGCACGGGUGUGUAACGCGUGAGCAACCUACCUCUAUCAGGGGGAUAGCCUCUCGAAAGAGAGAUUAACACCGCAUAACAUCAACAGUUCGCAUGUCCGGUUGAUAAAUAUUUAUAGGAUAGAGAUGGGCUCGCGUGACAUUAGCUAGUUGGUAGGGUAACGGCUUACCAAGGCGACGAUGUCUAGGGGCUCUGAGAGGAGAAUCCCCCACACUGGUACUGAGACACGGACCAGACUCCGACGGGAGGCAGCAGUAAGGAAUAUUGGUCAAUGGGCGGAAGCCUGAACCAGCCAUGCCGCGUGCAGGACGACUGCCCUAUGGGUUGUAAACUGCUUUUGUCCAGGAAUAAACCUAAAUACGUGUAUUUAGCUGAAUGUACUGGAAGAAUAAGGAUCGGCUAACUCCGUGCCAGCCGCCGCUGUAACAC